rnacentral:rRNA from 1 species
AUGAUAACCCGCCGUGCGGCGGUGGUAGCCCUACGCUCCUCCCUGCGCCGCGCCUGCUCCUCCCACGCCGCCGACUCCGGCGACCUCCUGCCUGGCCUCGUCGACCGGCCCACGCCGCGUCCCGUGCCCCGCCUCUCCCUCCACGACCUCGCCUUUAUUAGCGACCCUGCCCCCGCGCCCCCCGCCGCCGCCCUCCCGCCGCCGGAGGCCGUCCUGAUCUCCAAGGCGGUGCGGGCCUACGGCGCCGACUUCGAAGGCAAGGCUGAGCGGUUCCUGCGACGGUACCGCGAGUUCCUUACCGAUUCCGUCGUGGUCGCGGUGCUCAGGGCGGUGCGCUCCCCGGAGCUCUGUGUGAGGUUCUUCCUCUGGGCCGAGCGGCAGGUGGGUUACAGCCACACUGGUGCCUGCUACGACGCGCUCGCCGAGGUCUUGGGUUUCGAAGACCGCGCCAGAACCGCUGAGAGGCUGCUUAGGGAGAUUGGGGAGGAUGAUCGUGAUGUGCUCGGCAGAUUGCUCAAUGUGCUGGUGCGGCGGUGCUGCCGCCAGGGCCUGUGGGGCGAGGCUCUGGAGGAGCUUGGGAGGCUGAAGGACUUUGGGUACAGGCCGUCGGCGGUCACCUACAAUGCACUGGUGCAGGUGCUCGCGAGCGCCCGGCAGGUGGAAAUGGGGUUCCGGGUGCAGAAGGAGAUGUCGGCAUCAGGGUUCUGCAUGGACAGGUCCACAGUGGGAUCCUUUGCGCAGGCGCUGUGCAAGGAGGGGCGUUGGGGCGAUGCACUUGACAUGUUAGAGAAGGAGGAUUUUAAGCUUGACACGGUGUUGUGCACCCAGAUGAUCAGUGGACUGAUGGAGGCCUCCCUUUUCAAUGAGGCCAUGUCAUUUCUUCAUAGGAUGCGGUGCAACUCGUAUAUCCCGAAUGUGGUAACGUAUAGGACGCUGCUCUCAGGAUUUCUGAAAAAGAAGCAACUUGGCUGGUGCAAGAGAAUCAUUAACAUGAUGAUGACGGAGGGUUGCAACCCAAAUCCUUCAUUGUUCAAUUCACUUGUGCAUACUUACUGCAAUGCUGAGGAUUAUGCAUAUGCAUAUAAACUGUUUAAUAGGAUGAAUAACUGUGGUUGUCCUCCUGGUUAUGUUGUAUACAACAUAUUCAUUGGAAGCAUUUGUGGUCGAGAAGAAUUGCCAAAUCUUGAGUUGUUGGAUUUGGCAGAGAAAGUUUACGAGGAGAUGCUGGUUGCUAGUUGUGUUCUCAAUAAGGUUAACACUGCCAAUUUUGCUCGGUGCCUUUGUGGUGUGGGAAAAUUUGAGAAGGCAUUUCAGAUAAUGAAGGAGAUGAUGAGGAAAGGCUUUGUUCCUGAUGCAAGCACGUACACUAAGGUGAUUACUUUUCUGUGCCAGGCUAACAGGGUAGACAAGGCCUUCCUUUUAUUUCAAGAGAUGAAGAAGGUAGGUGUUAAUCCGGAUGUGUACACAUACACAAUUUUGAUCGAUAGCUUUUGUAAGGCUGGUCUCAUUGAACAAGCCCAGGUCUGGUUUGAUGAGAUGAGAAGUGCUGGCUGCUCACCAAAUGUAGUGACAUAUACUGCAUUGCUUCAUGCUUACCUGAAAUCUAAGCAGCUCUGUCAGGCUAAUAUCAUCUUCCACAGAAUGGUUGAUGAUUCCUGCUAUCCAAAUGCUGUUACAUAUAGUGCACUAAUUGAUGGCCUCUGUAAGGCGGGCGAAAUCCAAAAGGCUUGCGAAGUCUAUGCCAAAUUAAUAGGGACUUCUGACAGUAAAGAAUCUGAUUUCUACUUUGAAGGCAAGGACACAGACACCAUUUCUCCAAAUGUUGUCACCUAUGGUGCACUCGUAGAUGGUUUGUGCAAAGCUCAAAAGGUGGCUGAUGCUCAUGAGUUGCUAGAUGCUAUGCUAUCAUCUGGCUGUGAGCCCAACCAGAUUGUUUAUGAUGCUCUGAUUGAUGGUUUUUGCAAAGUUGGAGAAAUCGAUAGUGCUCAGGAGGUAUUUCUGCGGAUGACUAAGUGUGGUUACUUGCCUAGUGUGCAUACAUACACGUCCUUGAUUGACCGGAUGUUCGAGGAUGGGAGACGUGAUCUUGCAAUGAAAGUUUUGUCUCAAAUGCUAAAGGAUUCAUGUAAUCCUAACGUCGUCACUUACACAGCUAUGGUUGAUGGGCUCUGUAAAACAGGUGAAACUGAAAAAGCCCUAAACCUGCUGUCAUUGAUGGAAAAGAAGGGAUGCAGUCCAAAUGUUGUAACUUACACUGCCCUAAUAGACGGACUAGGGAAAGCUGGUAAAGUUGAUGCAGGUCUUAAGCUUUUUAUGCAAAUGAAGACAAAAGGAUGUGCUCCCAACUAUGUUACAUACAGAAUACUGAUAAACCAUUGCUGUGCUGCUGGUCUUUUGGACGAUGCCCAUUUACUGCUUGAUGAGAUGAAGCAGACCCACUGGCCAAAGUAUCUGCAAGGAUACCACAGCACAGUUCAGGGUUUCAGCAAGAAGUUUCUCGCUUCUCUUGGUUUGUUGGAGGAGAUGGAAUCACAUGACACAGCACCGAUAGCUCCUGUUUAUGGGAUGCUCAUUGAUAGUUUCUCCAAGGCUGGUAGACUGGAGACAGCCUUGGAGUUGCACAAAGAGAUGAUGGAAGUCUCGUCAUCCCUAAAUAUGGCCAGCACGGACAUGCACACCUCAUUAAUCCAGGCACUUUGUUUAUCAUCUCAAGUUGAAGAAGCAAUUGCAUUAUAUAGUGAAAUGACCAGGAAAGGCAUUGUACCAGAUUUAAGUGCCUUUGUUUGUCUUGUAAAGGGACUAAUUGAAAUGAACAAGUGGAAUGAAGCUCUUCAGUUGUGUUAUGGCAUAUGCCAGGAGGGUGUGAACUGGCAGGGUAACAAAUUCUGUGAUGGAGGGUAG